GUCGAACGAUGAUGGCCCAGCUUGCUGGGCGGAUUAGUGGCGAACGGGUGAGUAAUACGUGAGUAACCUGCCCUUGACUCUGGGAUAAGCCUGGGAAACUGGGUCUAAUACUGGAUACUACCUCUUACCGCAUGGUGGGUGGUGGAAAGGGUUUUACUGGUUUUGGAUGGGCUCACGGCCUAUCAGCUUGUUGGUGGGGUAAUGGCUCACCAAGGCGACGACGGGUAGCCGGCCUGAGAGGGUGACCGGCCACACUGGGACUGAGACACGGCCCAGACUCCUACGGGAGGCAGCAGUGGGGAAUAUUGCACAAUGGGCGGAAGCCUGAUGCAGCGACGCCGCGUGAGGGAUGACGGCCUUCGGGUUGUAAACCUCUUUCAGUAGGGAAGAAGCGAGAGUGACGGUACCUGCAGAAGAAGCGCCGGCUAACUACGUGCCAGCAGCCGCGGUAAUACGUAGGGCGCAAGCGUUGUCCGGAAUUAUUGGGCGUAAAGAGCUCGUAGGCGGUUUGUCGCGUCUGCUGUGAAAGCCCGGGGCUCAACCCCGGGUCUGCAGUGGGUACGGGCAGACUAGAGUGCAGUAGGGGAGACUGGAAUUCCUGGUGUAGCGGUGAAAUGCGCAGAUAUCAGGAGGAACACCGAUGGCGAAGGCAGGUCUCUGGGCUGUUACUGACGCUGAGGAGCGAAAGCAUGGGGAGCGAACAGGAUUAGAUACCCUGGUAGUCCAUGCCGUAAACGUUGGGCACUAGGUGUGGGGGACAUUCCACGUUUUCCGCGCCGUAGCUAACGCAUUAAGUGCCCCGCCUGGGGAGUACGGCCGCAAGGCUAAAACUCAAAGGAAUUGACGGGGGCCCGCACAAGCGGCGGAGCAUGCGGAUUAAUUCGAUGCAACGCGAAGAACCUUACCAAGGCUUGACAUUCACCGGACCGCCCCAGAGAUGGGGUUUCCCUUCGGGGCUGGUGGACAGGUGGUGCAUGGUUGUCGUCAGCUCGUGUCGUGAGAUGUUGGGUUAAGUCCCGCAACGAGCGCAACCCUCGUUCUAUGUUGCCAGCACGUGAUGGUGGGGACUCAUAGGAGACUGCCGGGGUCAACUCGGAGGAAGGUGGGGAUGACGUCAAAUCAUCAUGCCCCUUAUGUCUUGGGCUUCACGCAUGCUACAAUGGCCGGUACAAAGGGUUGCGAUACUGUGAGGUGGAGCUAAUCCCAAAAAGCCGGUCUCAGUUCGGAUUGAGGUCUGCAACUCGACCUCAUGAAGUCGGAGUCGCUAGUAAUCGCAGAUCAGCAACGCUGCGGUGAAUACGUUCCCGGGCCUUGUACACACCGCCCGUCAAGUCACGAAAGUUGGUAACACCCGAAGCCGGUGGCCUAACCCCUUGUGGGAGG
rnacentral:rRNA from 1 species